GAGUGGCGAACUGGUGAGUAACACGUGGGAAACCUGCCCAGAAGCGGGGGAUAACACCUGGAAACAGAUGCUAAUACCGCAUAACAACUUGGACCGCAUGGUCCGAGUUUGAAAGAUGGCUUCGGCUAUCACUUUUGGAUGGUCCCGCGGCGUAUUAGCUAGAUGGUGGGGUAACGGCUCACCAUGGCAAUGAUACGUAGCCGACCUGAGAGGGUAAUCGGCCACAUUGGGACUGAGACACGGCCCAAACUCCUACGGGAGGCAGCAGUAGGGAAUCUUCCACAAUGGACGAAAGUCUGAUGGAGCAACGCCGCGUGAGUGAAGAAGGGUUUCGGCUCGUAAAACUCUGUUGUUAAAGAAGAACAUAUCUGAGAGUAACUGUUCAGGUAUUGACGGUAUUUAACCAGAAAGCCACGGCUAACUACGUGCCAGCAGCCGCGGUAAUACGUAGGUGGCAAGCGUUGUCCGGAUUUAUUGUGCGUAAAGCGAGCGCAAGCGGUUUUUUAAGUCUGAUGUGAAAGCCUUCGGCUCAACCGAAUAAGUGCAUCGUAAACUGUGAAACUUGAGUGCAGAAUAUGACUGUGUAAUUCCAUGUGUAGCGGUGAAAUGCGUAAAUAUAUGGAAGA
rnacentral:rRNA from 1 species